rnacentral:rRNA from 1 species
UCCGGUUGAUCCUGCCAGAGGUUACUGCUAUCGAGGUUCGGCUAAGCCAUGCGAGUCGAAUGUAGCAAUACAUGGCGAACUGCUCAGUAACACGUGGACAACCUGCCCUUAGGUUGGGUAUAAACCCGGGAAACUGGGUAUAAUACCCGAUAGGUCUCGAUUGCUGGAAUGCAUCGAGAUUUAAAGCUCCGGCGCCUAAGGAUGGGUCUGCGGCCUAUCAGGUAGUAGUGGGUGUAGCGUACCUACUAGCCUACGACGGGUACGGGUUGUGAGAGCAAGAGCCCGGAGAUGGAUUCUGAGACACGAAUCCAGGCCCUACGGGGUGCAGCAGGCGCGAAAACUUUACAAUGCUGGCAACAGCGAUAAGGGAACCUCGAGUGCCAGGUUACAAAUCUGGCUGUCGAGAUGCCUAAAAAGCAUUUCAUAGCAAGGGCCGGGCAAGACCGGUGCCAGCCGCCGCGGUAACACCGGCGGCUCGAGUGGUAACCGUUAUUAUUGGGUCUAAAGGGUCUGUAGCCGGCCGGAUAAGUCUCUUGAGAAAUCUGGCAGCUUAACUGUCAGGCUUUCAGGAGAUACUGUCUGGCUCGAGGCCGGGAGAGGUGAGAGGUACUUCAGGGGUUAAGGGGUGAAAUCUUGUAAUCCUUGAAGGACCACCAGUGGCGAAGGCGUCUCACCAGAACGGACCUGACGGCAAGGGACGAAAGCUAGGGGCACGAACCGGAUUAGAUACCCGGGUAGUCCUAGCCGUAAACGAUACUCGCUAGGUGUCGGCCACGGUGCGACCGUUGUCGGUGCCGUAGGGAAGCCGUGAAGCGAGCCACCUGGGAAGUACGGCCGCAAGGCUGAAACUUAAAGGAAUUGGCGGGGGAGCACCACAACGGGUGGAGCUUGCGGUUUAAUUGGAUUCAACGCCGGAAAUCUUACCGGGACCGACAGCAAUAUGAAGGCCAGGCUGAAGACUUUGCCGGAUUAGCUGAGAGGUGGUGCAUGGCCGUCGUCAGUUCGUACUGUGAAGCAUCCUGUUAAGUCAGGUAACGAGCGAGACCCA